rnacentral:rRNA from 1 species
GGGAUUCCUAGUGGAGCGGUGGAAUGUGUAGAUAUUAGGAAGAACACCAAUAGGCGAAAGCAGCUAACUGGUCAUAUAUUGACACUAAUGGACGAAAGCGUGGGGAGCAAACAGGAUUAGAUACCCUGGUAGUCCACGCCGUAAACGAUGAUCAUUAGUUGGUGGCAAAAGUCACUAGCACAGCUAACGCGUUAAAUGAUCCGCCUGAGUAGUAUGCUCGCAAGAGUGAAACUUAAAGGAAUUGACGGGAACCCGCACAAGCGGUGGAGCAUGUGGUUUAAUUUGAAGAUACGCGUAGAACCUUACCCACUCUUGACAUCCUCGCAAAACUAUAGAGAUAUAGCGGAGGCUAACGAGAUGACAGAUGGUGCAUGGUUGUCGUCAGCUCAUGUCGUGAGAUGUUAGGUUAAGUCCUGCAACGAGCGCAACCCUUUUCUUUAGUUGCUAACAUUAAGUUGAGAACCCUAGAGAUACUGCCGGUGCAAACCGGAGGAAGGCGGGGAUGACGUCAAAUCAUCAUGCCUCUUACGAGUGGGGCAACACACGUGCUACAAUGGCUACUACAAAGAGCAGCGAAACAGUGAUGUCAGGCUAAUCUCAAAAAAGUAGUCUCAGUUCGGAUUGAAGUCUGCAACC